rnacentral:pre_miRNA from 1 species
AGUGGAAUUGCUGGGUCAUAUGAUAACGCUGUGUUUAACUUUCUUAACAACUGCCAAACUGUUUACCAAAGCAGCUGUGCCAUUUUACAUUCUCACCAGCAAU